rnacentral:rRNA from 1 species
AGUGAACGCUGGCGGUAGGCCUAACACAUGCAAGUCGAACGGCAGCACAGGAGAGCUUGCUCUCUGGGUGGCGAGUGGCGGACGGGUGAGGAAUACAUCGGAAUCUACUCUGUCGUGGGGGAUAACGUAGGGAAACUUACGCUAAUACCGCAUACGACCUACGGGUGAAAGCAGGGGAUCUUCGGACCUUGCGCGAUUGAAUGAGCCGAUGUCGGAUUAGCUAGUUGGCGGGGUAAAGGCCCACCAAGGCGACGAUCCGUAGCUGGUCUGAGAGGAUGAUUAGCCACACUGGAACUGAGACACGGUCCAGACUCCUACGGGAGGCAGCAGUGGGGAGUAUUGGACAAUGGGCGCAAGCCUGAUCCAGCCAUACCGCGUGGGUGAAGAAGGCCUUCGGGUUGUAAAGCCCUUUUGUUGGGAAAGAAAUCCAGCUGGCUAAUACCCGGUUGGGAUGACGGUACCCAAAGAGUAAGCACCGGCUAACUUCGUGCCAGCCGCCGCGGUAA